rnacentral:rRNA from 1 species
UCAGUACGGCGAGUGAAGCGGCAAAAGCUCAAAUUUGAAAUCUAGCACCUUCGGUGUUUGAGUUGUAAUUUGAAGAUGGUAACCUUGGGUUUGGCUCUUGUCUAUGUUCCUUGGAACAGGACGUCAUAGAGGGUGAGAAUCCCGUCUGAUGAGAUGCCCAUUCCUAUGUAAGGUGCUAUCGAAGAGUCGAGUUGUUUGGGAAUGCAGCUCUAAGUGGGUGGUAAAUUCCAUCUAAAGCUAAAUAUUGGCGAGAGACCGAUAGCGAACAAGUACAGUGAUGGAAAGAUGAAAAGAACUUUGAAAAGAGAGUGAAAAAGUACGUGAAAUUGUUGAAAGGGAAGGGCAUUAGAUCAGACUUGGUGUUUUACGAUUAUCUUCUCUUCUUGAGUUGUGCACUCGUAUUUCACUGGGCCAGCAUCGAUUCGGAUGGCAAGAUAAUGGCAGUUGAAUGUGGCUUCACUUCGGUGGAGUGUUAUAGCUUCUGCUGAUAUUGCCUGUCUGGAUCGAGGGCUGCGUCUUUUGACUAGGAUGCUGGCGUAAUGAUCUAAUGCCGCCCGUCUUGA